AGGAUUAACGCUGGCGGCGUGCAUGAGACAUGCAAGUCGAACGGACGAUCAGGGCUUGCUCUGAUCGUUAGUGGCGGACGGCUGAGUAACGCGUAGGUGACCUGCCCCGAAGUGGGGGAUAACUGCCCGAAAGGGUGGCUAAUACCGCAUGUGGAGGUUCGUUCAUUCGAACCUUCAAAGCAGCAAUGCGCUUCGGGAGGGGCCUGCGUCCGAUUAGCUCGUUGGUGGGUAACGGCUCACCAAGGCGUCGACGGGUAGCCGGCCUGAGAGGGUGACCGGCCACACUGGGACUGAGACACGGCCCAGACUCCUACGGGAGGCAGCAGUGGGGAAUAUUGCACAAUGGGCGCAAGCCUGAUGCAGCAACGCCGCGUGAGGGACGACGGCCUUCGGGUUGUAAACCGUCUUUUAGCUAGGGAAGAAGCGAAGUGACGGUACCUGCAGAAAAGCACCGGCUAACUACGUGCCAGCAGCCGC
rnacentral:rRNA from 1 species